rnacentral:rRNA from 1 species
GCUAAAGUUGUUGCGGUUGAAAAGCUCGUAGUUGGAUUUUGGGCGGGCGCAGCCGGUCCGUCGCAGGGCGUGUUACUGGUUGCGCUCGCCUCGCCUUCGGUUCUCCGUCGGUGCUCUUGACUGAGUGUCGGCGGUGGCCGAGAAGUUUACUUUGAAAAAAUUAGAGUGUUCAAAGCAGGCUGUUCGCCUGUAUAGUGUUGCAUGGAAUAAUGGAAUAGGACCUCGGUUCUAUUUUGUUGGUUUUCGGAGCGCGAGGUAAUGAUUAAGAGGGACAGACGGGGGCGUCCGUACUCUGCCGUUAGAGGUGAAAUUCUUGGAUCGGCGGAAGACGAACUACUGCGAAAGCAUUCGCCAAGAAUGUUUUCUUUAAUCAAGAGCGAAAGUCAGAGGUUCGAAGACGAUCAGAUACCGUCCUAGUUCUGACUAUAAACGAUGCCAACUAGCGAUCGGGAGGCGUUACCAUGACGACCUUCCCGGCAGCUUCCGGGAAACCAAAGUCUUUGGGUUCCGGGGGAAGUAUGGUUGCAAAGCUGAAACUUAAAG